rfam:Gossypium raimondii Chr03_contig_24, whole genome shotgun sequence.
UAUUAAAAGAUUCAUUCAUUUGUAUUGUUAAAAAGCUAAAAUGAGUGACAAAAUAACCAAAUAGUGACACAUGGUAUGUCACGUAUAUAUUAUGUUAAUGUACAAGGACCCAUUUUUAAUAGUAGAAAUUGAUAAAAUUUUUAAUA